rnacentral:rRNA from 1 species
AUGGCGGCGGCACCACAUCACCUGCUCUAUGAAUUCGCCAAGGCUGCACUUAUCAAGAUAUUUGCAUUUCCUUAUGCCACGGUCUGCGACAUGUACUGCAACGGCGGAGCUGAUACAGAAAAGUGGGCCGAUGCCCAAGCCGGUCGCUACAUAGGAAUUGACGCUUCUGCGUCAGCUGUCAGUAGCGACGACCGUGAACUGUGGGAGAACAAAUGGAAACCUUUCACCACUGAGUUCAUCGAGUUGAAUCCUUCUGCUGAUGACUUUGAAGCUCAGUUGCAAGAAAAGGGCAUCCAAGCAGAUAUAGUUUGCUGCAUGCAGAAUUUACAGUUAUGCUUUGAAAGUGAGGAACACGCAAAGAAGCUUCUCAAUAACGUAUCAUCCUUGCUCAAACCUGGAGGUUAUUUCUUUGGCAUAAUUCCUGAUUCAUCCACAAUAUGGACUAAAUAUCAAAAGAAUGUUGAGGCUUCACAUAAUAAGGGUCUGAAGGUUGUUCCAAAUAGCAUCCGCUCUGACAACUACACAAUUACCUUCGAAAUUGAGGAAGAAAAGUUUCCUUUCUUCGGAAAGAAGUACCAACUCAAAUUUGCAAAUGAAGCGAUGGUUGAGAAUCAUUGCCUGGUCCACUUUCCCAGCCUUAUGAGAUUAGCAAGGGAGGCUGGACUUGAAUAUGUGGAGAUCCAGAACUUAACUGAGUUUUAUGAUGACAACAGAACACAGUUUGCUCCAAUGCUUGGUAGUUGUGGUGCCAAUUUGGUUGACCCUCGUGGAAAGCUCAUUGCUCGUUCCUAUGAUAUUUUAGGCCUGUAUUCGACUUUUGUAUUCCAGAAGCCUGACCCAGAUGCAAUACCACCCGUUGUAACACCUGACCCAGAUGAAGAGCAGGAGCGGCUCUGGAGGCAGCAGGCGGCAGCGGAUGAUUUGAGGCGCCCACAGUCAGAGGUGAUUCCAAUAGACCCUGAUCAGAAAGGGAUCCUGGGCCCAGGACCUGCAGAUAUGAGGCUUAAUUAG